rnacentral:lncRNA from 1 species
CCACACUUUAAUGCAUUUUCUGGAAUAGCAUGGUCUUUAUAGUAAAACAUUAUGUUCUAUGAGGAAAGUGGAUAGCAGUGCCUUUUUAAUAUUGUUUGGGACAACACUGGAAGACUGAAGACCAGAGUGAUUUUGUCAUGAAGGCUACAAUCAGAGCUCAUUACUAAGUAAUUACUCAUUACUUACUCAAGACUAUGCCACUGAGUAAGAAUGAGUCACAAAAUGAAAGUUGGUCCUAUGGGAAAUAUGAACAAAGCAGGAAACUAGUCUAUAAGUGAAAUAUGCAGUAGACAGAGUGAAAAUAUAAAAUAUUGAAUAUAAGAAGAUCUUAGUGAGCCACAGCUUAUUAUGGUGUUUGACUUUUGUGCUCUGCAAGACAACCAUAAAGGGUUAAAUCAUUAGACCCAAGGAAGGCAGAUUGUAAAUUUUGAUAAUCUAUGUGGAGAUUUGGAUACUCUGACACCUUUCAUAGAAGUUUGAGUGGAAGACAGUGGAACCUGCUAUGGAGGAGUUUCAUUUUCGACGGGAUCCAGUGUAUUCCUGGCCUAUGUAAGAAGAUUUCAUUACUGUACAUUUAUUUUCCACUAUGCCUCUGGCCAUGCUCUUCAAAUAGAGAAAGAAAAUUCAAGUCUAGCUACUUAGAAUGAAUACAUUUCUAUAAUGUAGAAACCCCAAGAAGGCUGCUUGGUUUGAAUUUCAAAUCCUUUCUGUGUCAUUUUGUUGUAUGACUUUUCUUGACAAUAGUGUAUCUGAACACUCCUGCAUAUAAGAUCUUAAAUGAUAAUACAUAUUUCCUAUAAUAAUUCAAUCACUCCAUCAAUGGAAGAAAAGCGAGAGGAUAAGAAAAAAAGGAAAAAACAAACCUACAUUUAACACCCAGAUGUGAUGGGUAUUGAAACAUUCACAACGGUGUCUUCCUAUUCAGUGACUAAUUCAUGCCCACAGAAAUGUUACAGUAAUUCUAAAGGAUUCUGAAAAUAGCACCUAUGUUAUCAACCUCAAUAAAUAAGCUGCCAGGAGUUGAACA